CCCUUCGGGGGGACGUUGAUGGAAUGAGCGGCGGACGGGUGAGUAACACGUAAAGAACCUGCCCUCAGGUCUGGGAUAACCACGAGAAAUCGGGGCUAAUACCGGAUGGGUCAUCGGACCGCAUGGUCCGAGGAUGAAAGGCGCUUCGGCGUCGCCUGGGGAUGGCUUUGCGGUGCAUUAGCUAGUUGGUGGGGUAAUGGCCCACCAAGGCGACGAUGCAUAGCCGACCUGAGAGGGUGAUCGGCCACACUGGGACUGAGACACGGCCCAGACUCCUACGGGAGGCAGCAGUAGGGAAUCUUCCACAAUGGACGAAAGUCUGAUGGAGCAACGCCGCGUGAACGAUGAAGGCCUUCGGGUCGUAAAGUUCUGUUGUAAGGGAAGAACAAGUGCCGCAGGCAAUGGCGGCACCUUGACGGUACCUUGCGAGAAA
rnacentral:rRNA from 1 species